AGAACGAACGCUGGCGGCAUGCCUAACACAUGCAAGUCGAACGAGACCUUCGGGUCUAGUGGCGCACGGGUGCGUAACGCGUGGGGAUCUGCCCUUAGGUACGGAAUAACUCAGGGAAACUUGAGCUAAUACCGUAUAAUGACUUCGGUCCAAAGAUUUAUCGCCUAGGGAUGAACCCGCGUAGGAUUAGCUUGUUGGUGAGGUAAAGGCUCACCAAGGCGACGAUCCUUAGCUGGUCUGAGAGGAUGAUCAGCCACACUGGGACUGAGACACGGCCCAGACUCCUACGGGAGCAGCAGUGGGAAUAUUGGACAAGUGGGCAAAGCCUGAUCCAGCAAUGCGCGUGAGUGAUGAA
rnacentral:rRNA from 1 species